rnacentral:ncRNA from 1 species
CACCAUCUGUCGCUACUACCGAUUGAAUGAUUUAGUGAGGUCUUUGGACAGGUUCUCGAAGCGGCUUUCGGGUCGCGUCAGAAUGCUGGAAAGAUGACCAAACUUGAUCAUUUAGAGGAAGUUAAAAUCAUAACAAGGUUUCCGUAGGUGAACCUGCAGAAG